rnacentral:misc_RNA from 1 species
GAAAACAGUAAAAGUUACACCCCUAACAUAAAACAUACAACCGAAGCUUAAAAGUUACCAUACCAGACUUCCCAUUUUACUCACGAGAAACCACAACCAAUUGCUUCCCAACGUUACGACCAGCAAAGAGCCCCACCAAUGCUGCUGGAGCCUUCUCGAGACCCUCAACUGUAUCCUCUACAUAGGUGAUUUUCCCUUCCUUUAUGUACGGUACCACCUUCUCCACAAACUCAGAAUAGAGGUGAUAGUGAUCGAACACCAUGAAUCCUUCCAUUCGGACACGCUUCGCGACAAGCAUCAUCAAGUUGUGGACACCUUCCGGAAUGUCGAG